GAUCAGGAGGAAAGGGGCGACCAGGGCUUUCUCCAAGCCCUAACUUCUUGCUAGAAAUCUGCAAAUUGAAGCCCCAAUUCAGUUCCAAAUCGAAUUCUAAACACGAAUUAGUGAUCACCUCGUCACAAGAAUCAAAAGGCAAAGAGUCCGGAUCAUCAAGCGGACAAGCCGGAGGGAGUUCAAAGGGAAAAGGCGCGCUUUAAAGUUUUUCAGGUUUUCUAGUAGAUGGGUGAUGAUCAGGCAGGAGCAACUGAACCGAACACUCUAACAAACGCUUCCGCACAUGAU